rnacentral:rRNA from 1 species
UACGGGGGGGCAAGCGUUGUUCGGAAUUACUGGGCGUAAAGGGCUCGUAGGUGGCCAACUAAGUCAGACGUGAAAUCCCUCGGCUUAACCGGGGAACUGCGUCUGAUACUGGAUGGCUUGAGUUUGGGAGAGGGAUGCGGAAUUCCCGGUGUAGUGGUGAAAUGCGUAGAUAUCGGGAGGAACACCAGUGGCGAAGGCGGCUUUCUGGCCCGUUCUUGACGCUGAGGCGCGAAAGCUAGGGUAGCAAACGGG